UACGUAGGCAGCGAGCGUUGUUCGGAGUUACUGGGCGUAAAGGGUGUGUAGGCGGUUCUUUAAGUUUGGCGUGAAAUCUCCCGGCUCAACCGGGAGGGUGCGUCGAAUACUGAGGGACUAGAGUACGGGAGAGGAAAGUGGAAUUCCUGGUGUAGCGGUGAAAUGCGUAGAUAUCAGGAAGAACACCCGUGGCGAAGGCGGCUCUCUGGGACGGUACUGACGCUGAGACGCGAAAGCGUGGGGAGCGAACAGG
rnacentral:rRNA from 1 species